rnacentral:rRNA from 1 species
AUUGAACGCUGGCGGAAUGCUUUACACAUGCAAGUCGAACGGCAGCACGGACUUCGGUCUGGUGGCGAGUGGCGAACGGGUGAGUAAUACAUCGGAACGUGCCCAAUCGUGGGGGAUAACGUAGCGAAAGCUACGCUAAUACCGCAUACGAUCUAAGGAUGAAAGCGGGGGGAUCGCAGGACCUCGCGCGAUUGGAGCGGCCGAUGGCAGAUGAGGUAGUUGGUAGGGUAAAGGCCUACCAAGCCGACGAUCUGUAGCUGGUCUGAGAGGAUGACGAGCCACACUGGGGCUGAGCCACGGCGCAGACGCCUACGGGAGGCAGCAGUGGGGAAUUUUGGACAAUGGACGCAAGGCUGAUCCAGCCAUUCCGCGUGCAGGAGGAAGGCCCUCGGGUUGUAAACUGCUUUUGUACAGAACGAAAAGGCUCUGGUUAAUACCUAGGGCUCAUGACGGUACUGUAAGAAUAAGCACCGGCUAACUACGUGCCAGCAGCCGCCGCAG